CCUACGGGAGGCAGCAGUGGGGAAUAUUGGGCAAUGGAGGAAACUCUGACCCAGCAACGCCUCGUGAAUGAUGAAGGUCUUCGGAUUGUAAAGUUCUUUUCUAAGGGAAGAAGAAAGUGACGGUACCUUAGGAAUAAGCCUCGGCUAACUACGUGCCAGCAGCCGCGGUAAUACGUAGGAGGCAAGCGUUAUCCGGAAUGACUGGGCGUAAAGGGUGCGUAGGUGGUUUGACAAGUUGGUAGCGUAACUCCGGGGCUCAACCUCGGCACUACUACCAAAACUGUCGGACUUGAGUACAGUUGAGGUAGGCGGAAUUCGUGGUGUAGCGGUGAAAUGCUUAGAUAUCACGAAGAACCCCGAUUGCGAAGGCAGCUUACUAAACUGUGACUGACAUUGAUGCUCGAAAGUGUGGGUAUCAAACAGGAUUAGAUACCCGUGUAGUC
rnacentral:rRNA from 1 species